rnacentral:lncRNA from 1 species
CUCGCCACGCUACUCCAUGCUGGGCGACAGAAGUGAGAACUUGUCUCAAAAAAUAAAUAAAAAUUUAAAAAUCACCUGUGGAACUUAAGUAAAAUGUGGAUUCAUAGGCCUUAGCUCUACAGCUUUUUUAACAAGCACCUUAUGGGAUUCUGCUGUUGGUAUUUCUCAGGUCUGCAGCUAGUACAGCAGGGAUUGAAUGACUUCCCAGUUAGACCCUGAGCUAGCCAUACCGUAUAUGCAAUUUCAUGUAAGCAUCUGCUAACUCCACUAGGAAUACUGUGCUGAGCCUUUGCCUUGAGAAUGCAGAGCUGAAAGAGCAGAUGGGAGAAGCAAUGUCUGAUGGAUGGGAGAUCGAGGAAGACAAGGAGGAGGGCGAGCUCAUCACAGGUGUCUGUUCCUGGACCUCAGAUGGGUUACUGGGAUCCUCUUUAGGGAAGGAGCCGUGCUGAAGAUUCAGUGAAAUGGAGAAUACAGGGAUUCUGAGAGAAUCAAUGGGACAGAAUGCAAGGGGAGAUGAGUGGAGGGUUCCACCCCUUCUCUUUUUGACCACUGAGAAAACAUUUCCUGAGAGCUCCUCU